AUUGAACGCUGGCGGCAUGCCUUACACAUGCAAGUCGAACGGCAGCACGGGAGCAAUCCUGGUGGCGAGUGGCGAACGGGUGAGUAAUAUAUCGGAACGUGCCCAGUCGUGGGGAUAACGUAGCGAAAGCUACGCUAAUACCGCAUACGAUCUACGGAUGAAAGCGGGGGAUCGCAAGACCUCGCGCGAUUGGAGCGGCCGAUAUCAGAUUAGGUAGUUGGUGAGGUAAAAGGGCUCACCAAGCCGACGAUCUGUAGCUGGUCUGAGAGGACGACCAGCCACACUGGGACUGAGACACGGCCCAGACUCCUACGGGAGGCAGCAGUGGGGAAUUUUGGACAAUGGGCGCAAGCCUGAUCCAGCAAUGCCGCGUGCAGGAUGAAGG
rnacentral:rRNA from 1 species